rnacentral:misc_RNA from 1 species
UGCCUUGCCAAGGAGCUCAGUCACAGCAGCCCUGUAAUCAAUUGGAUGAACCCGAUAGUGACCUACAACAAAUGAAACGCAUGAAGAGAAUUUGAAAACACGCCAAUAUGAUUGUAUCAAGAGCAUCAGGAGGACAUUAGUCUCUUUCAGUCCAAAAAAAAAAAAUCUAGAAAAAUCGCAUUUAAAAUUUAAUACAUAAAGUUCCAAGUUAAUAAAUGUUACAUAAUACUGUUCCUUCCAAAUAUAAAAGAAAAACAACAGACUUCUCCUAAUGAAAUGUCUGAUCAUUCAAAAUGCCAAAUGGAGAAAGAUGUUACUGUUUCACAGUUUCUAACACAAGGGAGAAAGAUGUUACUGUCAACACAAAUGUAACAUACAAAUGCUUGGCACCAAAAAGAUUAACUUAAAGCAUGAGUACUUGACAGCAGAAGGAUUGAAUCAGAAGCAUCCUUUGUGUUUAACAAUUUUUAGUUUCAUUCAAAGCAUCACCAAGAUAUUUAUACUUUCUACAGGGACAUGACCAAAAUGCAUUCAUGAUUACAAAUAAUUGUUAAAUUUUAGACAGACCUACAUGAGGAGAGCCAUUCACAGUCACAAGUUUUACAUCACCCCCAAGUUGUCGAAGUCUUUUAGUGAAAUUGCAUAUAACUUGAUAUGGAGCAAGAUCAUCACUUUCUGAACACAGAAUGAGAUAUGGGACCCCCAUGCUAACAGAAGAGUACAAAGUCUGCCAAUACUCAGCUCGCAAUGAUUCAAAUCUGUUGAGGAAGACUGCAUCCAAACCAUCACUAAUGACAUUUACCAUCCAUGAUAAAACUCUUGGUGUAUGGGAGAUUUUA